rnacentral:rRNA from 1 species
UACGUAGGGGGCAAGCGUUGUCCGGAAUUAUUGGGCGUAAAGAGCUCGUAGGCGGCUCGUCGCGUCGGCUGUGAAAACCUGGGGCUCAACCCCGGGCCUGCAGCCGAUACGGGCGAGCUAGAAUUCGGUAGGGGAGACUGGAAUUCCUGGUGUAGCGGUGAAAUGCGCAGAUAUCAGGAGGAACACCGGUGGCGAAGGCGGGUCUCUGGGCCGAUAUUGACGCUGAGGAGCGAAAGCGUGGGGAGCGAACAGG